rnacentral:rRNA from 1 species
CCUACGGGAGGCAGCAGUGAGGAAUAUUGGUCAAUGGGCGCGAGCCUGAACCAGCCAAGUAGCGUGAAGGAUGACUGCCCUACGGGCUGUAAACUUCUUUUAUAAAGGAAUAAAGUGAUGCACGUCUGCCUUUUUGCAUGUACUUUAUGAAUAAGGAUCGGCUAACUCCGUGCCAGCAGCCGCGGUAAUACGGAGGAUCCGUGCGUUAUCCGGAUUUAUUGGGUUUAAAGGGAGCGUAGAUGGGUUGUUAAGUCAGUUGUGAAAGUUUGCGGCUCAACCGUAAAAUUGCAAUUGAUACUGGCAGUCUUGAGUACAGUUGGGGUAGGCGGAAUUCGUGGUGUAGCGGUGAGAUGCUUAGAUGUCACGAAGAACUCCGAUUGCGAAGGCAGCUUACUAAACUGCCACUGACAUUGAUGCUCGAAAGUGUGGGUAUCAAACAGGAUUAGAUACCCUAGUAGUC